UACGGGGGGGAGCAAGCGUUUGUUCGGAUUUAUUGGGCGUAAAGAGCGUGUAGGCGGCCUGGUAGGUCUGCUGUGAAAGCUCGAGGCUCAACCUCGAGAUGUCGGCGGAAACCAUCUGGCUAGAGUCCGGAAGAGGAGAGUGGAAUUCCUGGUGUAGCGGUGAAAUGCGCAGAUAUCAGGAAGAACACCUAUGGCGAAGGCAGCUCUCUGGGACGGUACUGACGCUGAGACGCGAAAGCGUGGGGAGCGAACAGG
rnacentral:rRNA from 1 species